rnacentral:rRNA from 1 species
UACGUAGGGUGCAAGCGUUGUCCGGAAUUAUUGGGCGUAAAGAGCUCGUAGGCGGUCUGUCGCGUCUGCUGUGAAAACUCAGGGCUUAACCCUGAGCUUGCAGUGGGUACGGGCAGACUAGAGUGCGGUAGGGGAGACUGGAAUUCCUGGUGUAGCGGUGAAAUGCGCAGAUAUCAGGAGGAACACCGGUGGCGAAGGCGGGUCUCUGGGCCGUAACUGACGCUGAGGAGCGAAAGCGUGGGUAGCAAACAGG